AGAACUUAUCUAGUGGAGUGCGUGUGUGUGCUGCUGCAUCCUCGUCCGGCAGCUCUAAUCCACACUCUCAGUACUAGGUGGUGGCAUUGCUUCACUUCUCUUGUUACGUUCUCUUCGCCCAAAUUCGGAGGAUCAAGAAAAUAAAAUAUCAUACUUUUGACAUGCACUACUCAAAAGAAGGCAUUUCUGUUGAAAAAUUGUUUCGCUUGACAUGUACUUGCCAACAAUUAUGUAUAAUAAAUCAUGGCAUUGUAUGUAGAAAAAGAUAUAUUGUGUGUUC